UCGGGAAUUUUGCACAAUGGCCGAAAGGCUGAUGCAGCAACGCCGCGUGAGCGAAGAAGGCCUUCGGGUUGUAAAGCUCUGUUGCCUGCGAAGAAGGGCCCUGUCAGGAAAUGGGCGGGGUUUGACGGUAGCAGGCGAGGAAGCCCCGGCAAACUACGUGCCAGCAGCCGCGGUAAUACGUAGGGGGCGAGCGUUGUCCGGAAUUACUGGGCGUAAAGGGCGUGUAGGCGGGGGGACAAGUCAGAUGUGAAAUACUGCAGCUUAACUGCGGGGCUGGAUCUGAAACUGUUCUUCUUGAGUGUCGGAGAGGAAAGUGGAAUUCCCAGUGUAGCGGUGAAAUGCGUAGAGAUUGGGAGGAACACCAGUGGCGAAGGCGGCUUUCUGGGCGACAACUGACGCUGAGGCGCGAAAGCGUGGGGAGCAAACAGG
rnacentral:rRNA from 1 species